CCAGACUGUGUGCGACCAACCCUGUGCUCCACUCUAGCCCAGGCUCUUACUUCAAGAAGAGAGAUUAGAAAGCUGCUUCACUGUGGCUGCCAAGAUAACUUUUGCGAUUAAAAAGCAAGUUUGAUCUUUGUACCGGCAUUCUCCUGUCCAAUGUGCAGGAUAAUCUAAGUUACUCCUUGCUCAAGAUGCAACUGAAACAUCCCUUGCAAUGGACACCUUUCCUGAUCCAUAGGACACACCAAUGCUCUCCUCCAUCCCUCCCCGAC
rnacentral:lncRNA from 1 species